UACGUAGGGGGCGAGCGUUGUCCGGAUUUAUUGGGCGUAAAGAGCGUGUAGGCGGCCAGGUAGGUCUGCUGUGAAAACUCGAGGCUCAACCUCGAGACGUCGGCGGAAACCAUCUGGCUAGAGUCCGGAAGAGGGGAGUGGAAUUCCUGGUGUAGCGGUGAAAUGCGCAGAUAUCAGGAGGAACACCGAUAGCGAAGGCAGCUCGCUGGGACGGUACUGACGCUGAGGCGCGAAAGCGUGGGGAGCGAACAGG
rnacentral:rRNA from 1 species